GAAAACUUCACUAUUGUUUUUUUUAAAAGGUUAGAAAAUAAAAAGAAUAAAGGAGAUAAAUCUUACAAUAGAUCUUCAUCAUCACUUAGAUCGGGAACAUCAUUACUUAGAUCAGGAAUGUGAGAAAUUUUAUGCCAAUCUUCACCCGUGUUUCUUUUACACCUUUUACCAAGAUGUUUACAACCUCUUAUCACAAGUUGGUUUAGAUCCUUGAAACUCUGAAUCUCAUCCGGUAGAGAAAGUAAUCCAUGACAAUAUUCAAUGUUCAUCUUUCUGAUGCUUGGAAGAUUACACGGUAAAGAAAUCAAUUUGUCACAAUUUUCUAAUUCUAAAUCCUCCAGUUUUGGAAGAUUAUCUGGUAAAGAAAUUAAUUCCCUACACCUGUAGAUCUCUAAUCUUUGUAAACAAAUAAACAUAUCGGUGUUAUCUAUUGACAUGUUUAUAUCAUCAUCGUGAAAAUACUUCAAAGAACGCAUAUCCGCCAACUGAAUAACCCUAAGACAGGGAAGUCUCCCAAGUGGUGGAAUACGCUCACAGUUCUUACACCCAGAGAAAACAAUUUCAACCAAAUUCCUUAAAUUGUCCAUCCAACUUGGAGAAAUGGUCUUUCCCAUGUAAUUAUUGAUUGACAAAAACUCUAAAGAUGGAUUUGGCUCUAAUCCCUCAAGAACCUCUUCUGGAAACAUUUCUGGUGUAAUUUCUUCCCAGGAAAUCGUGGAAGCAUUCGAAGACUAGUUAGUUUCCCGAUUCCAAACGGCAAAUGUCGGAGUGAAUCACAACCAUUGAUGUCCAAACGUUGAAGGCUAAUCAUGUCUUUUAGGCCGUCAGCUCAUUGAACCAUUUGUUGGAGUACUAGAUGCAACAAAUGAAGAUGAUGAUAUGCAAUUGAUAAUCUACAAGUGUAAGUCAAAUGAAGGGGAGAUCUCAACGCAGUCCUAUGGAAAGUCAAAGGUGGCUACAGAGGCUGUAUCCUCCAACCGGAUUCAAGACAGUUUUCUUCAUUAGAGCUAGGGAGAUAGAAGUCGAGAUCAUAACGAAGACUAUCAUAGUCCCAGCUGGGAUUUCGAACUGUGGUCCGAGAUGACGGUCCAGGGCUAGAGCUGGGAUGGCUAAUGGGGUAUGCAAGAGUAUACAAGGGCUGCCUGGUUCAUAAAUCUGUACCAUAUUUACGAACUUGGAAAAAUAUUUAAAUAUCUACUUGCUUGAAGCUAUUUGUUUUAUAACUUUGUUCUUCCAUCCACUAUGUGGCUCUUUGCAAUAAUCUUCAAUCUUUAAUUAGUGACAGUAAAGCUUUUCUUUUUCGGAAAGCCGCCACUAAAACGCUGUUGAAAUAGCUCUGUUUUCCAGCCAGAUUACCUUUUCCUGUUGAGCGGAAACUGCUGUUGUCCGGUUAACCACCUCCGUUAAUCUUCCCUUUUGUUUCCGCCUUUUCGAACUGUUUUCUCAUCUGCAAAUCUGCUAUUCUAUUAUUCAUGGCUAUCACAAGUGAUGAUUCAACAAAUUCUACAUCGAAUUCAUCUCCAACGUUUCCUAACUGUUCUCAAGAAUUUGAGAAUAUUGAAGUUUCUUAAUCGAAGCUUAUCGGUUCCAGUCAUUGGAUCUGAAGCAACGGUUUGUUAGAUUGUAUGUUUGUCUAGUUGUUAUAGUUUGUAGGUAAUAAGUAUUUGAGUCAAAGAAGUUAGGAGGCUUUUGAUAUAAGUACAUUGUAAGGUUCAAUGUAAUUUUUGUACAAAUUUAUUGAAUAGCGGAAAAGGCCGUGACCCUUGUUUUGAUCACAAAAAUUCCGAUCGUGUGAGAUGCGAGUGUGGUUGUUCGAAUCUGGGCCACCAUGAUUCAGUAUUGCAAAUAAAUUACGUUGUGUGACAUAAUAAAUUAUGCAAAAUCCUGCAAAAAAAUAUGUUCUUGAUUCUAGAAUUUCUGUUUUGUAUGAUAUCGUUACUUUUAUGUGGAGGAUUUAAACUGUAUACAGUAAUACUUCUCUCCCCUGUUCUUUUUAGCCUAGGUGAGUUCCACUUAUUUCCAAUAUUUUAAAAACAUAACGCUUGUAAAGGAUCUUGUAAUAUUAAUCUUUAAUAAAGGUUAAAUUUUCUUUUUUUUACUUAACUUUUUUUUUUCUCUUUCAGUUAUGAGAUAACAUUUCUGUUUCUUUGAUGAAUUUUCUAUAUUUGUUUAGUUAUAAGUAAAUUUUCAUUAUUUGGUAAACUUUAUAUUUACAGCUCACUUGAACCACUUAUUGGAGUUCUACAUGCAACAAAAUUCCAGCUUGCUGAAAGCCUCCAUGGUUGUAGGUUUUCAGCUUGGGUACACGGUGAUAUUUGGGUCAUAUGCAUCAUUUCUCUUUGUUCGAACUGGUUGGUGAUUACUUUUUUUAUUAUCUUAUUUUCACCAUAUAAAACAUGUUAAUUAUGUCUCAUGUAAAAUUUACAUAAAUCUACAUAAAAUUAUAACAGGACGGUUUGGUUUACUAUAUAAAAAUGAAACCAAACAGAAUUUUUCGGUUAUUAAAAAAAUAAAAUUUGAACAAUCGGAUAAUCAAAUGGGUCGGUUAUUUUGGUUUCAGCUCAUGUGUAAUUUUUUUGUUAAUCACGGGACAUAUUGCAGCACCACUCGUGUCAGAUAUGUUUUGCAACAUCAUGGGUCUUCCCGCCUUCUCUUCAUCAAGGACAUGUAACAAAACACAUACUCAUGAACAAAAUCAUUUAUUGGUUUUUAUGGUUUAAUAUUUUAUAAAACUGACUAACUUUUUUGAGUGGAAAUAUCAAGGUUGGUGAGUAUGGGAUUUGUAGCAGGAGAGAUAAGCUUUAUAUAUAUCUUGUUUCCCCUCACUUCUCCAGCAUUGUACCAUCCAGACCCGGCUAUUUGGGCCGGCCAACCUGGGCGGCCCAAGGCACAAAGUUUUUAAGGGCCCGACAGAUAUGUGUAGGUUUAGUAUUAUAGCAUUGUACCUGCGACGUUUCAGUUUCAUCAUCAACAGGAUCAUCAUUCAUUGUUUUAGCUUUUGGGUAUGAUUUUUCGAUUUAGAAUUAGUCAAUUAGACGAAAACCUUGAAUCUUUGAUGUUUAGAGUUACUGAUUUACAACUUAAUGGAACUUUGAAACUUUGAUUUUUGAGU
rnacentral:lncRNA from 1 species